rnacentral:misc_RNA from 1 species
AAAUAAAAUAAAACAAAAUAAAGAGGAACAUGGACUGGAAGUCCUAAGAACCGUAACACGCUAGGUUCCCAGACUUAAUUUACGUAUGAAAAUAUAUCUGCACUUAAAGAAGGUGGAGGGGAAGUGAUACUUUGAUCCGCUAUGAUGAAGUUGAUGUUGUUUGAAUAAUCUUUUCCUCUUGUGGUAGUAAUUAUCUGGGAGAGAGAGGUUUCUUGGAGUUUGAUAUUCAUAUCUUCUUUUACCUACUUCUAAGCUUAUGAAAAGUUCUUGAUGUUUAGCAUACCCAACCAAAUUGAUAGUAAAGAGUAGCUUAAUUGUUGUCACAUAGUUCUCAUUGCUUAUGCUGCUCAAAAGAGAAAGGGCAAGAAAAAUUUUGGGCUUUAAUGAUAUGAUUAUGGGAUACAAAGAAGAUUAUUCUUUGAAAUGCUCAUUUUUGCCCCUAUGGAGCAACAACAAUCUAAGCAGGGGAAUUUUCUUUGAGUUUGGG